GACGAACGCUGGCGGCGUGCUUAACACAUGCAAGUCGAACGGUGAAGCCCUUCGGGGUGGAUCAGUGGCGAACGGGUGAGUAACACGUGAGCAACCUGCCCCUGGCUCUGGGACAACCACUGGAAACGGUGGCUAAUACCGGAUACGACCCGCCUCGGCAUCGAGUGUGGGUGGACAGUUUUUCGGCUGGGGAUGGGCUCGUGGCCUAUCAGCUUGUUGGUGAGGUGUAGGCUCACCAAGGCGACGACGGGUAGCCGGCCUGCGAGGGCGACCGGCCACACUGGGACUGAGACACGGCCCAGACUCCUACGGGAGGCAGCAGUGGAGAAUAGUGCACAAUGGGCGAAAGCCUGAUGCAGCGACGCCGCGUGAGGGAAGACGGCCUUCGGGUUGUAAACCUCUGUCAGCUCCGAAGAAGCGAAAGUGACGGUAGGAGCAGAAGAAGCACCGGCUAACUACGUG
rnacentral:rRNA from 1 species